CCUACGGGUGGCUGCAGUGGGGAAUAUUGGGCAAUGGGCGCAAGCCUGACCCAGCAACGCCGCGUGAAGGAAGAAGGCUUUCGGGUUGUAAACUUCUUUUGUCAGGGACGAAGCAAGUGACGGUACCUGACGAAUAAGCCACGGCUAACUACGUGCCAGCAGCCGCGGUAAUACGUAGGUGGCAAGCGUUAUCCGGAUUUACUGGGUGUAAGGGGCGUGUAGGCGGGACUGCAAGUCAGAUGUGAAAACCACGGGCUCAACCUGUGGCCUGCAUUUGACACUGGAGUUCUUGAGUACUGGAGAGGCAGACGGAAUUCCUAGUGUAGCGGUGAAAUGCGUAGAUAUGACGAAGAACCCCGAUUGCGAAGGCAGCUUGCUGCAGCGGAACUGACGCUGAUGCUCGAAAGCGCGGGUAUCGAACAGGAUUAGAUACCCUUGUAGUC
rnacentral:rRNA from 1 species